GUACAAGAAGAGAGUGAAGCUGAAUGAAAGUAGGGAGGGGAGGUGGAGGGAGAGGAGAGGAAGAAGGAAAGGAGGAGAGAGCGAUGGGAACGAGGAAACGCUUUCUCUCCUUAUGUUUAAUCCUGUGGAUCCUCACACCCCAAAAUCUAAAAUAAAGGAGAAAAAACUAAGAUAGGAGGUCAGACGAGGAGAAGGAGAGAGAGGGGGGCAAAGGAAGGAGAGAAGGAGAGAGGGGUAAAGGAAGGAGAGAAGGAGCCGAGGAGAAGGAGAGAGAGGUGUAAAGGAAGGAGAGAAGGAGCCGAGGAGAAGGAGAGAGAGGUGUAAAGGAAGGAGAGAAGGAGCCGAGGAGAAGGAGAGAGGUUUUAAGGAAGGAGAGAAGGAGCCGAGGAGAAGAGAGAGAGAGGUGUAAAGGAAGGAGAGAAGGAGCCGAGGAGAAGGAG
ensembl:lncRNA